rnacentral:rRNA from 1 species
AUGACGAUUAACAAGGCUCAAGGGCAGACCAUCCCGAUUGUUGGUGUGUAUCUACCUAAUCCGGUGUUCUCUCAUGGUCAACUCUAUGUUGCUUUGUCUCGAGCAACCGUGAAGAAAACAUAA